rnacentral:tRNA from 1 species
GUUGUGGCUCAAGUGGCAGAGCGCUUGCCUAGCAAGCAUGAGGCACUGGGUUCAGUCCUCAGCACGACA